GUGUCGGAUUUAUUGGGCGUAAAGCGAGCGCAGGCGGUUUUUUAAGUCUGAUGUGAAAGCCUUCGGCUUAACCGAAGAAGUGCAUCGGAAACUGGGAGACUUGAGUGCAGAAGAGGACAGUGGAACUCCAUGUGUAGCGGUGGAAUGCGUAGAUAUAUGGAAGAACACCAGUGGCGAAGGCGGCUGUCUAGUCUGUAACUGACGCUGAGGCUCGAAAGCAUGGGUAGCGAACAGGAUUAGAUACCCUGGUAGUCCAUGCCGUAAACGAUGAGUGCUAAGUGUUGGAGGGUUUCCGCCCUUCAGUGCUGCAGCUAACGCAUUAAGCACUCCGCCUGGGGAGUACGACCGCAAGGUUGAAACUCAAAGGAAUUGACGGGGGCCCGCACAAGCGGUGGAGCAUGUGGUUUAAUUCGAAGCUACGCGAAGAACCUUACCAGGUCUUGACAUCUUCUGCCAAUCUAAGAGAUUAGACGUUCCCUUCGGGGACAGAAUGACAGGUGGUGCAUGGUUGUCGUCAGCUCGUGUCGUGAGAUGUUGGGUUAAGUCCCGCAACGAGCGCAACCCUUAUUAUCAGUUGCCAGCAUUCAGUUGGGCACUCUGGUGAGACUGCCGGUGACAAACCGGAGGAAGGUGGGGAUGACGUCAAAUCAUCAUGCCCCUUAUGACCUGGGCUACACACGUGCUACAAUGGACGGUACAACGAGUCGCAAAGUCGCGAGGCUAAGCUAAUCUCUUAAAGCCGUUCUCAGUUCGGAUUGUAGGCUGCAACUCGCCUACAUGAAGUUGGAAUCGCUAGUAAUCGCGGAUCAGCAUGCCGCGGUGAAUACGUUCCCGGGCCUUGUACACACCGCCCGUCACACCAUGAGAGUUUGUAACACCCAAAGCCGGUGAGAUAACCUUCGGGAGUCAGCCGUCUAAG
rnacentral:rRNA from 2 species